rnacentral:ncRNA from 1 species
ACCUGCGCCGCCAUCUCACGAUCGCUCAGGCCACCACAAAUCUGAAUCAGACGAUCGGAGAGCGUUGAUUUGCCGUGGUCAAUGUGAGCAAUAAUAGAGAAAUUUCGUAUGUGCUUCAUUUAUAUGAAUAUCUUCACGUAGAGAAUCAGUUGAAAACGUGAGCACAGACACAUUCAGGCAAGCGAUCUUUACCCGGAACCCUGUCGGCCUCAUUAAUGACGUCGCAUAUUACACUGUUAACGCCGCGCGUUAAAGAAUGGAACCUGUGGGAUUUGCAACAGAAUUCAGCGGGUAAGCGGAAAUGAAAAGGCCGCACAGCAGGCGGCCCGGGCGGCAUCAGCUGACAUCUUCAACCCGCAGCGCAUCAGGCGGAAGCGCCACGCUGAGGAUCACCGGCUGAAAGGCUUCGCGUCCGGCAUAGCGCGAUGAAACGCCUUUGGCAAUGAUAAAUCCUCCCACGCCGCCAAGCAGCGCCCCGCAGGCGGCCGCGAGGUCGCUGUGAAACAGCAUCUGAAACAGGCCAGCCACAGCAAACAGGCCAAACAGCGGCGUCAUAUAGACCAGCAGCGCUGAGCCGAGCAGGCUGCUUUCGCGAAUGCCUAACUCAAUGCGCUGACCCGGCUGUAGCGGCUCAGCGCUGGGAAUGGUCAUGACAUGGGCGUUCUUCGGCCCCAGCUUGUUGAGCGCAUGGCUGCCACAGCCUUUACGCGCUGAACAGCUGUUGCAGGAAGUUUUCGCUUCGGAAUGCAGCGUGGCAAUGCCAUCCUGCCAUGCCACCACGGUAGCCCACUCUCUCAUCAUUUCUUUGCCCCUGCAUCAAUAGCGCUGGCGAUACGU